rnacentral:rRNA from 1 species
GACGAACGCUGGCGGCGUGCCUAAUACAUGCAAGUAGGACGCAGUUGCGAACGGGUGAGUAAAACGUAGGUAAAUACAUAUUAGAGGGGGAUAACUAUUGGAAACGAUAGCUAAUACCGCAUACUAGGAGAUGGACCUGCGUUGAAUUAGCUAUUAGGUAGGGGAAAUGCCUACCUAGGCAACAAUACAUAGCCGACUGGAGAGGGUGAGCGGCCACACUUGGACUGAGACACGGCCCAGACUCCGACGGGAGGCAGCAGUAGGGAAUCGUCGGCAAUGGGGGGAACCCUGACCGAGCAACGCCGCGUGAGUGAAGAAGGUGUUCGGAUCGUAAAGCUCUGUUGUUAAGGAAGCGGUACUUAACCAGAAAGGGACGGCUAACUACGUGCCAGCAGCCGCGGUAAUAC